CCAAUAGCGUAUAUUAAAGUUGUUGCAGUUAAAAAGCUCGUAGUUGAAUUUCGAGACCGGUUUAUUGGUCGUGCUUUUGUACGUACUGGUAUUAUUGGUUUCUCCUUUCUGACGAAUCUUAAUGCCAUUAAUUUGGUGUUUUGGGGAAUCAGGACUGUUACUUUGAAAAAAUUAGAGUGUUUAAAGCAGGCUCACGCUUGAAUACAUUAGCAUGGAAUAACGGAAUAGGACGUUUGAUUCUAUUUUGUUGGUUUCUAGGAUCGACGUAAUGAUUAAUAGGGAUAGUUGGGGGCAUUAGUAUUCAAUUGUCAGAGGUGAAAUUCUUGGAUUUAUUGAAGACUAACUACUGCGAAAGCAUUUGCCAAGGAUGUUUUCAUUAAUCAAGAACGAAAGUUAGGGGAUCGAAGACGAUCAGAUACCGUCGUAGUCUUAACCAUAAACUAUGCCGACUAGGGAUCGGAUGAUGUUAAUUUUUAAUGACUCAUUCGGCGCCUUACGGGAAA
rnacentral:rRNA from 1 species